GUAAUCCAGGUCAGUUUCUAUCUAUGAAGCGUUCUUUUCUAGUACGAAAGGACCGAGAAGAAGAGGCCCCUGCCCCAAGCACGCCUCCCCCUAACCUGAUGACACCAACUAAAUCAGACAAAAGGGUGCCCUCCCCCGCUAAAGAUAAUAGCCU
rnacentral:rRNA from 1 species